rnacentral:tRNA from 1 species
UCAGAAAAUAGUAUAAGGAUUAUUUAAAUUUUGGGGAUUUAGGAUGAGAAAUCUUUUCUGAUACUGUAA